AAGUCGUAACAAGGUAUCCGUAGGUGAACCUGCGGAUGGAUCAUUACCAAUUUUAUAUAAUAGUUUGCCUGUGACGGACUACUCUGUUACAGGUAUUAACUACUAUUGUAAACGUUGAACUAGAUCAAUUGGUGUGGAUUGCUUGGGAAUGGACGAAGCGACAAGCCUCUUCCGGACAGGCAAACCCCACACUGAUACCCUUUUCAAUAUAUACUAUACUACUAGUACAUACUACAAACAAACAAACAAACAAACAAAAGCUAUAAUAGGACUUAUAAACAGGCUGAGUGGGUAAAAUCCUCGGCUUAACCAAUAUAACUAUUACAACUUUCAGCAAUGGAUCUCUAGGCUCUC
rnacentral:misc_RNA from 1 species